GUUCCAAAUAAUGACCAAACUGAAGUAUGAAAACUGAAGGUUCUCUCAACUGAAGGCUCCUCCCACAAUUGCUGUUUUAAAUGUAAGCCAGUCUUGUCAAAAAGCAAAUACACCACCUGGAGAUCACAUUUCAGAAGGACCCAGGAGGACUGCCUACUGAAUUUCUGGCUGUACUGCUCACUGGGCACUUUCUGCGACCUGAAGCUUCUGGUGCUGAUAACAAUUGUUAUCUCCCAGGCCAGGCCACGCGCCGCUUUUCUGAACACGGCGAUAGCUGGGCCCUAAAACAACAUCAGAGGGCUAAAACUCCAAAGCAGCAAACUACAGUGAAAUACAGAGCCAGCAGUUUUCUUAACUAGCAACAAGGAGGAAGAUAAUAAGCACUACACUCAGCAAUGGAAUCAGCGUGAGGCAACUCCAGAACAAAUGCUGAAAUUGCAUUUUUUCAGCCUCUAAAAGCACCUUUUAUGUAACUUUACAAUUACUUAAGAUAGGCAUGGCCUGUGAAGAAUAGCACAGACUUGAACUUAAACAUUCUGGCAUUCUAAAUCAGCUAAACAAAAGACACAGCUGCAGAAGCUUUGAUCUCCUGUACUUAUUUGCAACCCACCUUGAGACAGCUGCUCUUACUACUGCCAAACAGCUUUUUACAUCAUCUUGAAAAGUGCAGUCCUCCAGGAAAAUCAUCUCCCUAUUAAUGUCUUCAGAGGCCUCACAUGAGUGAAGAUAUACAGAACAACAGACUAGUUAGUCUGGUCUAGAGAGAACCAGGCCUAAUGACUGUAUUACUUCUCCAACCUAAGCAGACUUGGGUUAAUUAAAGAUCCUUCCUCUGAAUCUCAUCUUAGCACUCCAAAGCAGAACUCAUGGUAACUCAGAAGAUGUCUGUGCAAUGGCUGAGAAAUGCAAGCUGGUCUGUGCUAGUGAAAACCACUGGACUUGGAAAGCACAGACAUGUGAAUACUGCAUUGGAAAGAACAGAGACUUCCAUGACAAGGAUGUUCAGAAAUAGAUGAUGAUUCUGAAGUAAAAACUAUAAAGCAUUUUCAACAGAAAAAUUUCCUUUCCCUCAAAAUAUUCAAUUCUUCAAGAUCAUUUCAAACAAACCCUUCCUGCAUUUCAGCUUAAUGGCAAAAUCUGAUCUUGAGGACUGCUCACCACUUCCUCCUCUAAGUACCACUUAAUGCAGAAUUGGCCUUAAUAACAACAGAAAUCUCACUGAGAAAUGCAGAACUUUGUUCUGCAUCAAGGCAGAUGCAGAACAAAGUCUCCAGAUCCAAAAUAAGUGUUCUAUAAGAAUACUGCCUUUAUGGGAGACAUCAUCGCUGACAUCUUCAGUCUCAUCCUGCUGCUGCCCUACCCCCUUGCUAGCAGGGACAAGGUGUUACAUCACAAAGACCCACUUGCAGCACAUCAAGAACAAGCUCUGGAACCAAGUCCUUUUUGCAACUGAUACUGGCACCUAUUUAUCAGUCUGCCUUGCUAUUCUGCAAAACAAGCUACCAUUUCUCCAGAACCACAUUACAAAAUGUACAGAAUUAGUCAUCUAACCAGUGCUGUGCUAUUUGAUGGGAUGCAUAGCUGCAGUUUUCAUUUCCCUGUUCCCCUGCCCUUCUUUGCUGUUACACUCUGAGAUACACAUGAGCCAACAACUGGCUGAUAAGAGAUAAGCAGAACUAAAAGCAAAUUAUGUAAAAGCCAAAUAAAUGAUUGCAACUCCA